UGAACGCUGGCGGCGUGCUUAACACAUGCAAGUCGUACGAGAAAUCUUCUGCUUGCAGAAGAGAGUAAAGUGGCGCACGGGUGAGUAACGCGUGGGUAAUCUACCUCCGAAUCGGGGAUAACAUUGCGAAAGCGAUGCUAAUACCGGAUAAUAUCCUUUUAGUUUCGAUUAUUUGGAUCAAAGGUGGCCUCUAUAUAUAAGCUAUUGUUUGGAGAUGAGCCCGCGUACCAUUAGCUAGUUGGUAGGGUAAUGGCCUACCAAGGCUUCGAUGGUUAGCUGGUCUGAGAGGAUGAUCAGCCACACUGGAACUGACACACGGUCCAGACUCCUACGGGAGGCAGCAGUGAGGAAUUUUGCCCAAUGGGGGAAACCCUGAGGCAGCAACGCCGCGUGAGUGAUGAAGGCCCUCGGGUCGUAAAGCUCUGUCAAGUGGGAAGAACCUGCGAGAUGAUAAUACCGUUUCGCACUGACGGUACCACUGAAGGAAGUACCGGCUAACUCC
rnacentral:rRNA from 1 species